UUCAAAACUGAUUUCAGCCACGUACUGAGUUGAAGUUUUCUGUCUUUGUUGCGGUUGUGUGGAUUCAGGCACUGCUGGCGAGGAACUGGAAUGCUUUCACCUGGCCGGCUGCAAGCGGCGUUUUUUUCCAAGAAGAUAGCGGGAACACUGCGGCUGUUUCACGCGGCUUACCACGGCCUAUUGUAUCUGGUGAACAAAUUCCCAAAUUUCAAGUUGAUGUAGAGUAUAGACUACGCCAAGGUAACCUGCAGUAUCUCAGGGAUGCAUCCUUUCUUAAAGUCACAAAAGAACUAAAGCAUGACAUACUCGAGAAAUUGGCUGAGACCAUGUAUGCAUUUAAAGCAUACCCAACGAAAGAAGAUUUUGAGACUGUUGCUAAGGCUUUAGUGCAAA